UAGUCCAUGCCGUAAACGAUGAUUACUAGCUAUUGGCGAUACACUGUCAGUGGCAGAGCGAAAGCAUUAAGUAAUCCACCUGGGAAGUACGGUCGCAAGAUUGAAACUCAAAGGAAUUGACGGGGGCCCGCACAAGCGGUGGAGCAUGUGGUUUAAUUCGAUGAUACGCGAGGAACCUUACCAGGGCUUAAAUGAAGAUUGACAGGACUGGAAACAGUUUUUUCUUCGGACAAUUUUCAAGGUGCUGCAUGGUUGUCGUCAGCUCGUGCUGUGAAGUGUCGGGUUAAGUCCCAUAACGAGCGCAACCCCUAUCUUUAGUUGCCAGCGAGUAAUGUCGGGGACUCUAGAGAAACUGCCCGUGCAAACGGUGAGGAAGGUGGGGAUGACGUCAAAUCAUCACGGCCCUUACGUCCUGGGCUACACACGUGCUACAAUGGUAACGACAGAGAGCAGCCACCCCGCGAGGGGGAGCGAAUCCUUAAACGUUAUCUCAGUUCGGAUCGGAGUCUGCAACUCG
rnacentral:rRNA from 1 species